UACAGAGGUGGCAAGCGUUGUUCGGAUUCAUUGGGUGUAAAGGGUGCGUAGGCGGUUUGGAAAGUCGGAUGUGAAAGCCUAGAGCUUAACUCUAGAACGGCAUCCGAAACUUCCUGACUAGAGUGCGAGAGAGGUGAAGGGAAUUCCCGGUGUAAGGGUGAAAUCUGCAGAGAUCGGGAGGAACACCAGUAGCGAAGGCGCUUCACUGGCUCGCAACUGACGCUGAGUGCACGAAGGCGUGGGGAGCGAACGGG
rnacentral:rRNA from 1 species